AUUUUUUUAUAAAACCUUUUAAGGACCGCUCUCAUAUAAUAUAUAGGAAUUUGUAAUCUAGAAAUCGUACCUUGAAAAUCCGAGUUGGCUUUUUCCGCUGAAGUGAUUUAGGCUCCUAGAUCACGAUCUGCCACCACCACUCCUGUUAGAUCACGAUUCGUCACCACCACGCUUGUUAGAUCACGAACUGUCACCAAUGAUCUUCUAGGUUAUGACUCAAGUUCGAUCUGCACUUGACGUGUGUGCGCCUUUAUCACUACCAAAGCAACUAGCACGAGAAAAUUUUUCUCUCAACAAUAGAGAGAAAAAUCUUUUUCUCUGAUCUGUAUAAAGUGGCUUCCCAUUUUUUUCUUUAGAGAAAAUAAGCCUUUUAUAUCUCCCUUUAAUGAAAACCCUAGGCUCCAAAUAAUAAAAAAACCAAACUCACGUUACUUGCUUUUUCUAUAGGGGACCCACUAUGUAAAAUAUCAUAAGACCCCUUACACAUAGCUAAUUAAAUGGAGCCUCCCACUAAAUGAUAUAAUUAGGCUUUUGACCCAAAUAGCUAGUUAUCUUGUUUAUUAAUCCAGUAAUGGUGCAAUCAAUUAAAUGAGCUAAACCGAGGAUCAUUUGGGAACAUACAAUAGUGGCUACAAUAAUUAGGCCCGUAAUUAAACUAGCCCAAUUAUUUAAUUCCAAAUCUACUCCACUAAAAGAUUGGAACUGACUUCCAUAAUUGUAUGCUCGAAUAAUAAUUCGUCUCAAGCCACAUUGAUUUCUUUACUGCACAUUCCUUUGUACCACAUCAUUAAUUAAAUCGAUAUCUCAACUGUCCAAUCAAUUUAAUUGCAUCUUGUUCCUUGAUACUUACUGGUUUUCUCUAAUGAUCAUUUUCAACAUACUAAAUAUGUUGACACACUCUGGCCAGAGAAUUCUAUGAUCAAGUGCCGAAAACCCAUCAAGAGGUGUGUUGUACAAAUUCUAUAUUGUUAAUCCAUAACUCCAAUACUUAUAAUUGCUCCCACCAAGAUACCGGGUAAUAUUGACCAUAAGUAUGUGUCGUGCCCAUUGGUAACUCAAAUGGAAUAACAAUUACAAUCAUGAAAUCAUAACUAACUCAAGAUUAAGAUUAUAGUAAAAUCAAUGCCUAUGAGAUUUAAUAAGUCUGACAGUCAUUUCAAGGUUAAUUAAAUCUCAUAUGUAAUCAUGUUCAAUGUAGUCGUACUACAUCAAUAAAUUCAUACAUGAUUAAGACAAAUCAUUCAAUGAAUUUAUUACAGUCUAUACCUAAAUAAAGUGUCCAACUUUAUUUAUCAACUGCGAACUAAAUUUAUUUAAUCAUAAGAUAACUUGUAUUUAUGUCUUCUGUGAAUCCACAUGGUGAUCACAUAAAUACAUAUAAUAUGAUUAAAUGGACUUUAAUAAAAAUAUUAAUGCAAUUAAGAUAUUUGAAUAAAAUACCUCAUUAAUUUUAUUAAUCAGAAAAAAUGUUUAUUAUAAUUAAAUAAACACAUAUGCUUUUAAAGAGCAUAUUUUCCCAACAAUCUCCCACUAGCUCUCAAAGCAUAUUUGGCAUCUCACGCAUGCCCAUGGAUUCUAAGUGCAAGUUAAAAGAUUUCCCAGGUAUGGCCUUAGUAAAAGGAUCUGCCAAGUUUUGCUAUGACGCAAUCUGAGUAACCUCCACAUCACCUCUCUGCACUAUAUCCCUUAUAAGAUGAUACUUCCUCUCAAUAUGUUUUUGUUUCUUGUGGUUCCUUGGUUCCUUAGAUUGAGCUACCGCACCACUAUUAUCGCAAAAUAGUUUAAGGGGUAUAGUUACAGUAGGUACCACCUCAAGAUCUUGUAGGAACUUGCGGAGCCAUACAGCUUCUUUUGCAGCUUCGGAUGCAGUCACAUAUUCAGCUUCAAUUGUGGAGUCUGCGAUACAAGAUUGUUUCACACUCCUCCAACUAAUAGCUCCACUUCCUAAUGUAAACACAUAGCCGGAAGUUGAUUUUCUGGAAUCCUUAUCUGACAUAAAGUCAGAAUCAGUAUAACCCACUAGAAUGAGUUCAUCACCAGAAUACACAAGCAUAUAAUUUUUAGUUCUUUUCAGAUACUUCAUUAUAUGCUUGACCGCAGUCCAGUGUUCAGGUCCAGGAUUAGAUUGAUAUCUACUAACCAUCCCUACCGCAAAACAGAUGUCUGGCCUAGUGCAAAGCAUGGCAUACAUGAGACUUCCCACAGCUUCUGCAUAGGGAACUCGUCUCAUUCUCUCUAUCUCUUCAGAUGUUUUAGGUGAUUGAUCCUUUAGAGAAUGUAAUUCCAUGUCGGAAUGGUAAUAAACCAAUCUUGGAAUUUUCCAUGGUAAAUCUAGUCAAUAUCAUAUCGAUACAGACCGCUUGAGACAAUGCUAAAGUUUUAUUCUUCCGGUCUCGUAGUAACUUGAUACCAAGAAUAUAACUUGCCUCUCUCAGGUCUUUCAUAUCAAAUUAUUUUACUAACCAACUCUUUAUUGUAGUCAAUACCCCUCUAUCGUUUCCUAUUAGGAGAAUAUCGUCUACAUAAAGAAUUAGGAAGGCUACAAAUUUUUCUUGAAUUUUCUUGUACACACAUGGUUCAUCAAUGUUCUGAAUGAAUCCAAACGAUUUAAUCGCUUGAUCAAAUCUGAUGCUCCAUGAUCGGGAUGCUUGCUUCAAUCCAUAAAUGGAUCUCUGCAACUUACAUACCAUGUGUUCUUGGUCUUUUUGUAUAAAUCCAUCUGGUUGCUGCAUGUAGAUGUUUUCUUUAAGAUGCCUAUUAAGAAAGGCAAUCUUGACAUCCAUUUGCCAAAUUUCAUAAUCUAGCACUGCAGCAAUGGAGAGCAGAAUCCUGAUGGAUUUAAGCAUAGCAACCGGAGAAAAGGUUUCCUCAUAAUCGAUUCCCUCUUUAUGAGUAAACCAUUUGGCUACUAAUCUUGCUUUAAAUGUUUCCACCCUUCCGUCUACUCCUCUUUUUCUCUUGUAGAUCCACUUGCACCCUAUAGAUUUUACCCCAUUUGGUGCCUCUACAAGCUCCCAGACUUUAUUAGAAUACAUAGAUUCCAUUUCUUGAUUCAUGGUCUUUUUCCAAAAUUCAACAUCUCUAUCUAUUAGAGCUUCGUUGUAACUAGUGGGAUCUUGUACAUGUUCAUCUGAGAUAGCCGUAUAGGUUUCUCCUAAAAGCAUGUAUCUCGCAGGUAACCUAGUUACCCUCCCACUACAACGAGAUUCUAAAAGUGAUGGUUGUUCAGGGUUAAUCCUGUGUUGAUCAUCUGGUUGUUGCUGUUCUUCCUGUUCUGUAACAGGCGUUGAAAGCUGAGCAUCAACCUGAUCACCUGACAGUUUUUUAAGUAUUACCUUACUCUUAGGUUUGAAGUUAUUCAUAUAGUCUUCCUCGAGGGAAGUGAAAUGUGUGCUCACAAUCACUUUCCUAUCUUGAGGACUAUAAAAUAAACCUCCCCUUACUCCUUUGGGAUACCCCACAAACAUACAAACCUUAAAACGUGAAUCCAUUUUGUCUGCCUUUGGUUUCAGCACAUGUGCUAGUGAUCCCCAAAUACGGACAUGUCAUAAACUUGGUUUGCGACCUGACCAUAAUUCUAUUGGGGUUUUAGGCACUGACUUAGAUGGAACUAAGUUCAAGAGGUAAACUGCAGUUUUCAGUGCUAGUCCCCAAAAAGAUAUUGGUAAUGACGAAUAACUAAGCAUAGAUCUCACCAUAUCCAAAAGAGUUCUAUUUCUUCUUUCAGCUACCCCAUUUUGUUGUGGUGUUCUCGGGGUAGUCAACUGAGAUAUAAUCCCAUUUUCAACCAGAUACUCUUUGAAAUCUCCUGAGAGAAAUUCACCACCUCGAUCAGAUCGAAGUUUCUUUAUGUUCUUAUCUAAUUGCUUUUCUGUCUCAGCCCUAUACUCUUUGAAUUUCUCAAGAGCUUCAGACUUGUGACGCAUCAGAUAAACAUAACCGUAUCUCGAGUAAUCAUCAAUGAAAGUAAUGAAAUACUCAUAACCUCCUCGAGCUUGUACAUUGAUUGGUCCACAUACAUCUGUAUGCACCAAUUCAAGUUGUAUUGUUGCACGUACUCCUUUGGCCGAGAAUGGCUUUUUGGUCAUUUUCCCUUCUAAACAGGAUUCACAGAGUGGCAAUGAUUCAUUUUCUAAUGGACCCAAGAGCCCAUCUUUGAUCAUUCUCUGUAUCCUAUUUUGGUUUAUAUGACCCAAGCGUAAAUGCCAGAGGUAACAUUAGUUGGAAGAAAUAUUUCUUUUUUUAGAUAAAUGUAUAUGCUCAUCAUUAUUGAUCACUAUGUCAUGCAUAGAAUGGAUCAUUGGACUUAAAUGAUAUAAAUUAUCUUCCAAUGUACCAGAACAAAUAAGUCUCUUAUUAUGAAAAAUAGAAACAGAGGAUCCAAAUUUUACAGUGUACCCUUACUUUGACAAAUAAGCUACUGAAAUUAAAUUCCUCUUAAUGUCUGGAACAUAAAGACAAUUAUUCAAAACUAAAGUCUCAUUAUUAAAAGAUAAUAAAACAGAUCCAGUCUUCACUGCUGACACGAACUGUCCUAUCCCUAACUGCAGCUUGACGCUUCCUUUACUUAUUUUCCUGGUUUCCUGAAACCAAUAAAGUGAAUUACAAAUAUGAUUAGUUGCUCCUGAAUCCAACACCCAAGUGUCAAUAGGAUUCUGAACUAAAUAGGCCUCAAUUACAAAAAGAUUUCUCAUACCUGAUUUCAUAAUCUUAGGGCAAUCCUUUUUCCAGUGACCUUUCUGUCCACACUUAAAGCAUUUGCCUUUCGGCUUGCCAUCUUGCUUGGUAGACAGUUUCUUUUUCCCAGCUUUCUUCUUACCUUUGCCUUUUGGCUUAGGCCCAGAAGAUGAACUUUUUACAGUAAUAUUUAUGCUUCCCAGAGAUUUCUCAGCACGAUAGAUCUCUUCAGCAGAAUGGAGUUCGUUCAUCAAUUCAGUUAAGGUCAUGUUUCUUUUGUUCACGUUAUAAUUGACCUUAAACUCCUUGAAUGUUUCUGGCAGAGAUUCUAGCACCAUGUCAAUCUUUGAGUUAUCAUCGAUUUGUGCUCCCUGAAUCUUAGCCUCAUUCAAAUAGUCCAUCAUUUUGAGGACAUGAUCACGAACUCUUGUGCCCUUCCUCAUUUUACUGUUCAUAAUUCCUUUCAGCGCUGCUUGUCUCGCAGAGCGAGUACUCUGCCCGAACAUAUGUUGGAGACUAUCCAUUAUUUCAGUGGCAGUCUCCAAGUUCUGAUGUUUAGUCUGCAGAAUAUUAGAAAUCGAGACUAAAAUGUAGCACUUUGCCAUUUCGUUGGCCUUUUGCCAUUUCUCAUAAAGCCUCCUCUGAUUUCUAUGAGCAUCAUCCGCUGGAACUGGAGGGCAUGGCUGGGUUAAGACAUAUUUAUAAUUUUCAGCAGUCAGGACAAUGAAUAGAUUUCUUUUCCAAUCUAUAUAGUUCUCUCCAGUGAGUUUGUUUUGACUCAGAAUAAUAGUAAGUGGGCUCAGGGAAGACAUUUUCUGAAAAAUAAAACAUCCAUGCAUAAAUAAUUUGAAAUAAUAUUCACAAUAAAUGAUAAAAAUGCAUAAAACCAUAAAUGCAUUUUUAUUUAUUGUAACGAUAAUCUAGUUCCGCUUUGACAAGCUAUCCGGUAGGGAAGUCAUGUCUAUACUUACUAGACCCAAUUACCCAUUGGAUUAUUUACUUUCAUGUAGAGACAUGAUAAAUAAUUAUCGUUAUCCUUUUGGGGCCUAAAUUUGUUAACAGAGCUUCGUUGGGAAGGUUAAUAACAAAUUUUAGUUGAGUGUAUAACCAUUGUUUCAAUCUACGUAUUUUUCAUAUCAAUAGUCACCGUUAGGGUGAACAAUCGAUUGAAAAAUAUUUCAAUUUUAUCUUUGAAGAAGUUCAUGAAAUAAAAUAUCUAAUAUAUAUACUCUCCGAAGGGAGCAUCGCCGUAUCAUGAAAUCGAGGUAUAUAUAUAAUUUUAUUGUUGAACUAACAAUGGAGCCCGUGGAAAAAUUAUCUUGAAUUUUCACUCUCCCACUCAAUAUUUUAAAAUUGGUUUUUCCUUUUUAAAACAUACAUAUUGUUAAUUGUAUGCUUCCUAUAAUAUUAUCCAGAUGAUAUCAAAUAUUAUUAAGCAUACGCAAAUUUCAAACAAUAUAAUGAAAUUCAUUAUUAAUGAAUGACAUGUAUCAUUAUGCAUAGAGUGGCACUACCUAUUCUAUAUGAUAUGUUUUCAUAGCAUGUUAUCAUCCAAAACAUAACAUAUAGAAAAAUACUUAAAUAAUCUUAAUUCAUGGCUUUCCUAAUAAUGAAAAAUACAUUAACCCUAAGCCUAAUCUUCAUUGGGCUUAUUGUCAAUGUCCAUCUUCCAUAAGCUUGUUUUUGUUAAUGGACUAGGGGAAAUUGAGCUUUUAAAUUUAUAAUUGGUCCAAUUUUAAUUUUGAAAGGAAAUAAAUAAAUAAUUAAAUUUUUUUAUUAAAAUAAAAUUUUUGGACCAAAAUUAAAUUUAAUGUAUUUAAUUUUGUCUAUGCAUUUUAAUCCAUUAAGCCCAAUUGAAAUUGGGCCUAAAAUUAGGAUUCAUUAAACCCAAAACUGUUUUUGGAUUUUUAUAAAACCUUUUAAGGACCGCUCUCAUAUAAUAUAUAAGAAUUUGUAAUCUAGAAAUCGUACCUUGAAAAUCCGAGUUGGCUUUUUCCGCUAAAGUAAUUUAGGCUCCUAGAUCAUGAUCCGCCAUCACCACUCCUGUUAGAUCACGAUCCGCCAUCACCUCUCCUGUUAGAUCACGAUCCGCCACCACCACUCCUGUUAGAUCACGAUCCGCCACCACCACUCCUGUUAGAUCACGAUCCGUCACCACCACUCCUGUUAGAUCACGAUCCGUCACCACCACGCUUGUUAGAUCACGAACUGUCACCAAUGAUCUUCCAGGUUAUGACUCAAGUUCGAUCUGCACUUGACGUGUGGGCGCCUUUAUCACUACCAAAGCAACUAGCACGAGAAAAUUUUUCUCUCAACAAUAGAGAGAAAAAUCUUUUUCUCUGAUCUGUAUAA
rnacentral:lncRNA from 1 species